ensembl:lncRNA
UGGGGCAGAGCCCAUAGUGUGAUGGGGUCAGGUGGUUGCGCUAUGGGGCAGAGCCCCACGUGGGGGAGGUUAUGGGGCAGAGCCCAUAGUGUGAUGGUGUUCCGUGGUUACGCUAUGGGGCAGAGCCCCACAUGGCGGAGGUUAUGGGGCAGAGCCCAUAGUGUGAUGGGGUCCGGUGGUUACGCUAUGGGGCAGAGCCCCACAUGGAGGAGGUUGUGGGGCAGAGCCCAUUGUGUGAUGGGGUCUGGUGGUUACGCUAUGGGGCAGAGCCCCACGUGAGGGAGGUUAUGGGGCAGAGCCCAUAGUGUGAUGGGGUCCUGUGGUUGCGCUAUGGGGCAGAGCCCCACAUGAGGGAGGUUAUGGGGCAGAGCCCAUAGUGUGAUGGAGUCCGGUGGUUACGCUGUGGGGCAGAGCCCCACAUGGAGGAGGUUAUGGGGCAGAGCCCCACGUGGGGGAGGUUAUGGGGCAGAGCUCAUACUGUGAUGGGGUCCGGUGGUUACGCUAUGGGGCAGAGCCCCACGUGGGGGAGGUUAUGGGGCAGAGCCCAUAGUGUGAUGGAGUCCGGUGGUUACGCUAUGGGGCAGAGCCUUACAUGGGGGAGUUAUGGGGCAGAGCCCAUAGUGUGAUGGGGUCCUGUGGUUGUGCUAUGGGGCAGAGCCCCACAUGGAGGAGGUUAUGGGGCAGAGCCCAUAGUGUGAUGGGGUCCAGUGGUUACGCUAUGGGGCAGAGCGCCACGUGAGGGAGGUUAUGGGGCAGAGCCCAUAGUGUGAUGGUGUUCCGUGGUUACGCUAUGGGGCAGAGCCCCACAUGGCGGAGGUUAUGGGGCAGAGCCCAUACUGUGAUGGUGUUCCGUGGUUACGCUAUGGGGCAGAGCCCCACAUGGUGGAGGUUAUGGGGCAGAGCCCAUAGUGUGAUGGUGUUCCGUGGUUACGCUAUGGGGCAGAGCCCCACGUGGGGGAGGUUAUGGGGCAGAGCUCCUCGUAGGAGAGGUUAUGGGGCAGACCCAGCGCUAUGGGGCAGUUGCAGCACUAUAGGGCAGACCCACUGCUAUGGGUCCCACCCUUUGCUAUGGGGCAGAUGCAGUGCUAUGGGGCAGACCCGGCACUAUAGGGCAGAUGCAACACCAUAGGGCAGACCCACUGCUAUGGGUCACACCCAGCGCUAUGGGGCAGACGCAGUGCUAUGGGGCAGAGGUAGCGCUAUGGGUCACACCCAUUGCUGUGGGGCAGAGGUAGCGCUAUGGGUCACACCCAGCGCUAUAGGGCAGAGGUAGCGCUAUGGGCCACACCCAUUGCUGUGGGGCAGAGGCAGCGCUAUGGGUCACACCCAGCGCUAUGGGGCAGACCCAGUGCUAUGGGGCAGGGGCAGCGCUAUGGGUCACCCCCGUUGCUGUGGGGCAGCGGCAACGCUAUGGGGCAGACCCAGUGCUAUGGGCCACACCCAGCGCUAUGGGGCAGACCCACUGCUAUGGGUCACACCCAGCGCUGUGGGGCAGACCCACUGCUAUGGGUCACACCUGGUGCUAUGGGGCAGACCCACUGCUAUGGGUCACACCCAGCACUAUGGGUCACACCUGGUGCUAUGGGGCAGAGGCGGCGCUAUGGGUCACAUCUGGUGCUAUGGGGCAGAGGCGGCGCUAUGGGUCACAGCCAUUGCUGUGGGGCAGACCCGGUGCUAUGGGGCAGAGCCAGCACUAUAGGGCUGAUGCAGCACUAUAGGGCAGACCCACUGCUAUGGGUCACACCCGGCGCUAUGGGUCACACCUGGUGCUAUGGGGCAGAGGCGGUGCUAUGGGUCACAGCCAUUGCUGUGGGGCAGACGCAGUGCUAUGGGGCAGAUCCAGCACUAUAGGGCAGACCCAGUGCUAUGGGGCAGACCCACUGCUAUGGGUCACACCCGGCGCUAUGGGGCAGACCCGUUGCUGUGGGGCAGAGGCGGCGCUAUGGGGCAGAUUCCCGUGGAGGGCGCGGUCGGUGGGGCAGCGCCGUGGGGCACAGCCGCCCCACGCAGCCAAACUCCGCCCCAUUGGGCGCUGGCGCUGCCCCACGGCGCCGCAAUUCCUUCCGCCCACGGCUGCACCGCGCCCUGUGCCGUGCCGUGCUGUGCCAUGCAGCGCUGUGUGCCGUGCAGCGCUGUGUGCCAUGCAGC